ACUGGUUGCCCCUCUUCUCCCCUCCUCUCCAGAUCCCUGUUUCCUGUCUGGCAGAUUUACGAUGCAGUUCAAAGAAGGAAGGAUGAUAUAACGCUUUCCUGCUCCCUCCCUCUCCCAACCGACUUAGGCUAACUGGCUGGGGGCCAAGCGGUUUGUUUUCCGCAGCCUUGAGUUUGUAAAAAUACUCCAGCCUGGGGGUGGGCUACCCAGGCCCUGCCUUUGCACUGUGCGGACCGCCUGCCUGCAGGACGCCCAGGAGUUCUGGGUCCCACUGACUGCCUCUCCGAGCCCCAUGUGGCUAAGAAUGCUAAGCUCUGGCCAACACUGAGGUAAUUCUCUAGGCAGAUCAUAGAAUACACAUCACAGUUUCAUGCAUAGUCAAGCCUCUUGGGCAAUGAGGACGAGGAAAAACAUCAACAAAUGAAUAUGUGAAAAUAAAAGCUUCUGCGAGUCAACUGAAUGUAUCACUGGCUCAGUUAGACUGGCUCCUGAGCAUCUUCUGGUCCACCCUGCCUGGAAGGAGAGAGGGUGGCCUGCUGAGGGGGCGGGCAGGGACAACUAACCACCCCACUCCAGGUGAACAAGAGGGUGGGCCGUGAGAACCAGGGCACAUCCACAGGGUCACUGGCUUUGCCUUCUGGGCACCUCCUCCGUCCUUCAUCCCAUCCCAGCUCUUCUCACGCCAUGCCCUCGUCGGCUGUCCAUCUGCUGAUUAGACAGUGGAUAGACUAUCUCCUCCCCUCCCCCACUACGGAGGCACCUGGCUUGAGGGCUUUUGUUCCUUUUCAGCCUCCCUUCUGCAACACCUGGGACUGAAUUGGCUUUGUAUUGGCAUGGAGCCCUCGGACCUCAGCAUCAAAGAGGCAGGGCGUGAAGCCACAAUCAAGAACAAGCAAAGUGAGCGCAGGGACUUUGCUUAUUUGGAUGGUGUCUGCAUGUCUGGAUGACCCACAGGGAAGCAGACCUCCAGUGCCAACAGCGGCUGUGAAGACAAGUCACAAGUGCCUCAGACUAAGCCAGUACCCUCUGCUUCUGCGGAAUCGUUGGAAGAAAAGGGAAGGAGAAACUCAAAGGAAAUCAAACUGCAAGGGCAGAAGUGCAGGCUCUUACCUGGCACUCCUCGGUGAGGGCUUUUCCAGCAAGACAAAAUGCCGAGCAGAUAUCUGGGGGACACAGGCCCCUUCAGCUCACUCUUGCAGAUGCCUUCAGAGGUCCUGCUUCUCUUCAAACACUUUCAGUCACUCCAUGAGCAUGUUUGAAGCAGCUCCCACGGCCGCAUGUGGCCGUGCAGCAGGGGCACAGCCAGCCACAUGAGUAACGACAAGACGGUCAAGUGUGUGACCAGUGCUGCACGGAGGAGGGGACCGGGGGGCCGAGGGAAGACGGCACAGGCACCCACGGCCGCCUGGCAGCCAAGGAAGGCUUCCCCGAGAGGCUGAGGGUGCCCAGGCCUUCUCCAGGCCUGUCUGCUGCUCUUUCCCCCACUUCUCCACUAAGGGCCUGGUCAGGGGCCGGGGCCAUGGGAGACAGACCGGCAGUCAGAGGACACUCUUCAUUCAACAGGGACCUGUCGCUACCCUGGUCUCCCCUUUCCUGCUCGGAGGAGCCUCCUCCGGCCUAGUUGUUCCUAACUCAGCCCCCUCUCCUGGUGGAGCCUGAGGCCAGAAAGCAGGCAACGCUGAUAAUAAUAAUAGUAAUAAUAAUGGUAAUGCGGAGAAGGGGGUAGGGAGGGGAGUGGUGGAGGAGAAAGGCCGCUUUACCUCAAACCCCACCCUGCGGGUUAAGUGUCUCCACCCCCAGCCAUGCUUGUGGAGAAGGCAGCUCCGUGUGGCCAGACCACAGAGUCCCCAUUUGGAAGAUCCCCUUUCCUAACCACCCUGGCCCAACAUCAGUAGCAAUAUUGCCCCACAAGGAGCAGCGAGCCAUUUACUGCAAAAAUCACCAGCGUCAGGGCUCAAACACCAAGUUCAGACACGAAGAACUCCCCCUCUGGAGCAUAAAACCAAGUUCAGAAUGAAGAAAAACAAAAUUUCCAGCCCGAGUUUCCUCUGAGGAGACACCCUCGGCGCCCCUCCUCACAGCUGCAAGGCCUCCUUCCCGGGCUGGGCCCUCAUUAGGAGCUAAUGGGCCCCAGCUGUGCCAGCUUCCAGACUCCUCCUUAACCCCUUGGUUUCCUCCGUCACUGCCAGAGGAAAAUGAGGCCUUGGAAUUUCCGUGCAGGGUUGAGAGCAGAGGGCACCCGCUGCACAGAGUUAGUGGUGUGCACCUUCUAUGGUUCCUCCUAAGAAACCAAAUAAUUAACAGGCACUCUGAGCCCCCAUCCUAUAUAAAUGUCCCGCUCAACAGCUGUCCUGAGCACCAGAGUGGAAAUGAACAAGGUACCAAUAACAGAGCGGGUCAGCCAAGCCACAAAGGCAGCCUGUGGACCGGGCAGCCUAUCCUUGUCCCCUGCCAUUCCCGUCAGCCACGGGUGCCCACCCUAGACCACAGCUGGGCCUCUUGGGUCUUCCAG
ensembl:lncRNA